GCAGAAGAGCCCCAAAGACCUGGCGGUGGAGGAGCAGGAGCUGACUUUCCAGCCGCUGCCGGAGGAGCAGGAGGAAGAGGAGGCGGAGGAGCCGCCGCCGGAAGCCAAGGAAGGCAACCCCAGAGAGGGGCCCGUCAGCCCCACCGCCGUGGAGAGGGCGGAGAGAGAUCAAAAGGACUCCCGGCUCGGCCCCGAGGAGAAGAAGCUCCCCGCUCCGCCGGGCACCCCAUGGCAGCCGAGCCCUCCCUUCAUUCCUCUCGCCGUCGCCGCCGCCAGCAACUGUGAAAAUAUCGCGCCGGGCAACUCUUCCAAAGCCGAGAAGCUAGCGCUGCUGUCCUCUGGCAACCCAGAGGCCGAGGCCGUGGAUGGGGACCCGGGCUCUCUCGGCUGCCCGGCUCAGCCCGCCCCGUCCGCCGUCCCUCCGCUUCCCGUGGCCCCGCCUGCUGCUCCUGCCGCCGAAUUCACCGUGGGCGACAACGAGGAUGAGGACGGGAUGAAGCACCUGC